rnacentral:tRNA from 4 species
GCGGCUGUAGCUCAGUGGUAGAGCGCAACCUUGCCAAGGUUGAUGUCGAGGGUUCAAGUCCCUUCAGCCGCUCCA